UCAUGUAAAAUUUCUAAGAUAUGAACUUCAUAAAAAUAUAUUUUUUUUUUCAACUAUAAUAAAUCAAUUAUUCUAAUCAAAUCAGAGUUUUUCAACAAUAAUUUUAUAAAUAUAAUUAGAAACUCAAAAUAGCAUGAACCAUAAAGAAAAUUAACAGUUAUAAAUGUAAAGCCUUCUCACAGCGUGGUCCUAAAGGACCGAAUAGACCAAACCCGGAGUGCCGAAUUAAAAGGUACGAAAGAGUGCAGAAUUUGGAUUGGGUAGUAGCAACAAUUUCAAUUCUCACUGCAGUAAUGCCAACAGCCCUAGUAAUAAUAACAUGGGACAACCACAGUAACAAUGGCAGCAAAUCCAACGGCCUAUGGUAGUUUAAAAUUGAGCAAAGACAGAAAGGGGUAUUAAGCAAGGUAGGACAAAGUCAAUAAUAAGGCUUUACGGCAAGAUAAGGUAGAACAAGAUGAGUCUUACCAAAGAAAACAAGGGGAUGGAGCAUCAGCAGCUCCGGUGACCCUCUCCAACGUCGACGGUGAAGGACACAACAGAAUAACGGUGGCGGUGGUUCCUCUCCUCUGGAGUGACUCCCGCAGCAACACUACAAGCUUUGACGAACAGGGGA
rnacentral:lncRNA from 1 species